CCAUUAAUUCAGGGCACUCGGGAUUGUUUUGAGUAUUACAGAGCUGAAUGUAAAGACAGGAUUAUGUGUUGUGUCUGCAAUUGCUGCUUCAUGCAAACCCCUGCUGCAGCUGCCUUGUCCCCCUGCUGAUAAGGGCGUGGAUGAAGCCUACCUUGUUGAGGAGACCCUCAGGGUUGAGCAGCUGGAAGAGGUUGAGAUAAGUAAUCUGGAAGGUGCUCCUGUGCAGGUGGAAGAGGAGACAGCUGAAGCUGCUGAAACUGAUGCUGAAGCUUCUGACGCCUUGCCCUUUGCUUGAAGCUC